UUUAAUUGCAUAUUAUGUAUAGGUGUUAUAAAAUGUUAUUUGUUUAUCUUUACCACGUAUUUUACAGUUGUACUAGGUACUCACAUCGUCCAGACCUUCAGUGAUCAGAGCAUCCAAAACAUCUGUUAACUCCAUUGCGAGUCAUUUGACAAGGGUUAAUCUAUUUAAAAAUAUCCGUGGAAACAAUGUCAACAGUCACUGAACCCAAGCUUACGAAUCUUUUUGGAUAAAACAAUAAGCAUUAUUCAUCUCAACAAUAAUUCAUCUCAUAACCUUCAGAGAUAUGAGCCAUGUGAUGUAACAUUGUAUCUGCAACGUUACACAUGAGGUAACUACUGAAUGUAUCUUGUAAGAUUCUACAUUAUAUACGAGAGGCGACAGAGCAUCGUAUAAUAUUGGAUAGGUACAUCAGACAUCAGACAUUAAAAAAAACAAUAUUUGAACGUUGUUUCAUAACGUUUUAUUGAAUUCAAUUUAUAAUGAAAGAUGAUGAAAUAAAUGGCACUACAAAUUUCAGCUGGUUUUCGCGUACACUCAAUAGCUUAUAACUUCGUCAAAUUGUGGGGCUUUUUUUUCGUUAAGGCAAUCAACUCAAAAUCACCGCAGAAAUGGCUGACCAUAUCUCCAGUAUAUUCAUCUGCAAAAUAAAUUGGUAUUCGAUUUGAUUUUUGCAUUAGAUUACUUUCCCACUAACUCGUAGAACACGAUUUUAUACGUAUAUAAUGAAAAGCAAUUUUUUUCAAGGCAAAACGAUUUAAUUGUAAUUAUUUUAAGUGUAGAAAUUUUGGAUUUUAGUAUUCCUUUUCAUUAAAUUACAUAUAUUAAAACAUGGUUACUUUAUA